UGUGGGUGAAAGCCCUCUUCAGUACCUUCAUUUUGGCGUUGGUUUUACUUCAAAUGACCUCCUGAAAUUGAAAUGGUUACCAGAUCAAGUUCUGGUCAGAUCUGACUUUGUCGAAUUAAACCAGGAGAUUGGAGACGAAUCUCUGAAUGAAACCAACUGGGGGAUAAUUGGUUUAUACCAUGGUGAUAACCGAGAGAGGAAAUUGCUAAGUUGUGAUGCACUCAUGCCUCUACUAGAUGCGAACUAUUCCGGAGGAAAAGAAGAAGAGGAAUCGGACGAGGAUUUUAUUUAUGUUAUUGGGAUUCUUAUAUUGAUGGAGUUGAAGAAUUCCAGGGACAAAUAAGCCAAGGCAAGCCAUCUUUUGACCUCUUGCUUUUUAUCCUUCUUGUUGUGCUCAUUGCUCCAUUAUAUACUUGGUUCCUUGUAUCAUGUGUGAUUUUUGGUCCUCUACUCUAUGCAUACUUAUUCCCAAAGUAUGUUGAACCCCUUGUUGAUGAUUUGCAUACUUGCUCCCAAGUAUGUGAACCCCCUUGUUGAUGUUAUGCAUGCUUACCCUAAGCAUGUAUGCCCCCUUGACCAUAUCCAUGUUGUCAUCUUCUUAGUGGUAUGAUGAUUAACAUCAUGACCCCUGUUUGAAUCAUCUUAAUUAUGUUGUCCCUAUACAUGCUUAUCCUAAGUAUGUAUGAUCCCCUUAAAACCUCAAUUAUCAUCCCCUUAGUGGUAUGAUGGUUAGCAUCAUGUCAUUGUGACUCUUAGUUCAUUCAUAAAACCAUAGGUUGGGAACCCCUUGGAAAAAGACCUUGUUGAAAAGAAUUUUUGAAAACCUUGGGUGAGUUGGACUUACCCAAGCGUGUGUUUAUGAAAGGAAAGGAUCUUGGCAAAGAUGGUGGAAAAGAAAAUCUUGUUUUCGAAAACUUUGGCGCCUAAGUAUUCACCCGUGACAAUUAACCCGCGCAACCACAUUACCCUGGAGUGGGACGGGGCUUAGCUCGUAGUUUGUUCUUCUUAACAUGGGACACCGCACAACUAUAUAAGGGUAAGGUUACCCCUGAAUCCGGAUUGUCGUUGGUGGAGACAAUAGUAUAACGGGAGGCCUUCAGGGCUGACCCGUCCGGAAGACACUAUGGGUCUCCUGGCUUGGCGGUGGAGUGAUACGUCUCCAACGUAUCGAUAAUUUCUUAUGUUCCAUGCCACAUUAUUGAUGUUAUCUACAUGUUUUAUGC